rnacentral:rRNA from 1 species
GUGGGUAGUUUGACUGGGGCGGUCUCCUCCCAAAGCGUAACGGAGGAGCACGAAGGUUAGCUAAUCCUGGUCGGACAUCAGGAGGUUAGUGCAAUGGCAUAAGCUAGCUUGACUGCGAGCGUGACGGCGCGAGCAGGUGCGAAAGCAGGUCAUAGUGAUCCGGUGGUUCUGAAUGGAAGGGCCAUCGCUCAACGGAUAAAAGGUACUCCGGGGAUAACAGGCUGAUACCGCCCAAGAGUUCAUAUCGACGGCGGUGUUUGGCACCUCGAUGUCGGCUCAUCACAUCCUGGGGCUGAAGUAGGUCCCAAGGGUAUGGCUGUUCGCCAUUUAAAGUGGUACGCGAGCUGGGUUUAGAACGUCGUGAGACAGUUCGGUCCCUAUCUGCCGUGGGCGCUGGAGAAUUGAGGGGGGCUGCUCCUAGUACGAGAGGACCGGAGUGGACGCAUCACUGGUGUUCGGGUUGUCAUGCCAAUGGCACUGCCCGGUAGCUAAAUGCGGAAGAGAUAAGUGCUG